AGGGUUCGAUUAUGGCUCAGGACGAACGCUGGCGGCGUGCUUAACACAUGCAAGUCGAACGAGAAGAGAUGAGAAGCUUGCUUCUUAUCAAUUCGAGUGGCAAACGGGUGAGUAACGCGUAAGCAACCUGCCCUUCAGAUGGGGACAACAGCUGGAAACGGCUGCUAAUACCGAAUACGUUCUUUUUGUCGCAUGGCAGAGAGAAGAAAGGGAGGCUCUUCGGAGCUUUCGCUGAAGGAGGGGCUUGCGUCUGAUUAGCUAGUUGGAGGGGUAACGGCCCACCAAGGCAACGAUCAGUAGCCGGUCUGAGAGGAUGAACGGCCACAUUGGGACUGAGACACGGCCCAG
rnacentral:rRNA from 1 species